GGCGUCCUACGGGGGGCAGCAGUGGGGGAUAUUGCACAAUGGGGGAAACCCUGAUGCAGCGACGCCGCGUGUGGGAAGACGGUCCUCUGGAUUGUAAACCACUGUCCCCAGGGACGAAGAUGACGGUACCUGGGGAGGAAGCUCCGGCUAACUAGGGGCAAGCAGCGGCGGUAAUACGUAGGGAGCAAGCGUUGUCCGGAAUUAUUGGGUGUAAAGGGAGCGUAGGGGGGAUGGCAGGUUGG
rnacentral:rRNA from 1 species